AGUGAACGCUGGCGGCGUGCUUAACACAUGCAAGCCGAACGAGAACGGAAUAUAGCUUGCUAUAUUUGUCAGCUAAGUGGCGCACGGGUGAGUAAUGUAUAGAUAACCUGCCCUUAAGAAAGGAAUAACAGUUGGAAACGACUGCUAAUGCCCUAUAUGCCUUUAAUACAUAAGUAUGCAAGGGAAACGCUUUAGUGCUUAAGGAUGGGUCUGUAUGGUAUCAGCUCGUUGGUGAGGUAAUGGCUCACCAAGGCUAUGACGCCUAACUGGUUUGAGAGGAUGAUCAGUCACACUGGAACUGAGACACGGUCCAGACUCCUACGGGAGGCAGCAGUGGGGAAUAUUGCACAAUGGACGAAAGUCUGAUGCAGCAACGCCGCGUGGAGGAUGACACAUUUCGGUGCGUAAACUCCUUUUAUAUAGGAAGAUAAUGACGGUACUAUAUGAAUAAGCACCGGCUAACUCCGUGCCAGCAGCCGCGGUAAGAC
rnacentral:rRNA from 1 species